GUGCUCACUUCAACAGCGCAUAUACUAAAAUUGGAACGAUACAGAGAAGAUGAGCAUGGCCCCUGCGCGAGGAUGACAUGCAAAUUUGUGAAGCAUUCCAUAUUAAA
rnacentral:snRNA from 1 species